ensembl:lincRNA
AUGACCACGGAUGUCCUGAGAGAGAGGUGGGCGCUGAAUGCUCGUGGAAGGUUGUUCCUCCUGUCUUCUCCCACUUUCCCUGCACACACACUCAGUCUCUUGGGAGAAACGCAGAACGGUGAAAUCAUGCCUCCAUCCACUUCCUGUCUGUGGCGCGAGGAAGCCUUUGCCCAAUCUAAUCUGAAGUUUAUUGCUCAGGCCAAAUCCAGCAACCCGCUCCUGUCCCCCGCUCCCCUCCCACCUACCAGAAAGUUCAUAAGUAGAUCAGGACAUUCUAGAAUUUUGAUGUGGAGCUUUGUUCAUGUUUGAUGUGAACUUUUGAAUCUCCCUUUCUUGGCCAGCAUUUGACAGAACCUCAGUAACCUUGCAUCUGUUUCUAUUGGCAAGAUGAUCAAGCUAUGUCAGGCACAUAAUACUUUAGCACCUAAUAAAGGGUACUCUAGGGUACUCUAGAGCUCGGCUGGUGCAUCUGUGAGGAGUAAGGGGAGGGAACCAGGAAGGAGGGUUGAAAGAGUACAUGUGUAUAAGUGAAUGCAUAUUUAGUAACCAUUUUAGUUAUAAACCUAUAGAUUUUUACAGAAAUCCAAAUCCCAACCAAAGAAAGAGAAGCUUUGUCUCUCUAGUUCUUUUUCCUCAUACCCCAUGGCCAAGUUUAAUUCCUGCUCCAAACCAACACUGAAAGAGAGGAAGGAAAGAAAAAACCAACAACAAAAAACCCUUUGGCUCCCUGAGACACACAAUGGAGUCAUUGAUCCAAGAACAAGUUGGUUCAAUUGCUUGCUUUACCUUGCUGCUGGGAGAAAAACAAAACCUCCUAUAAAAACAUGGCUUGUGGGAAAAGGUGGGAUUAUCCUAAAAGCUUUCCUUUGUUUCUGAAGACACUCUGCUCUACAGAGCUUAAGUUGUGUAGCGAUCAGGAUGAGGUGAAAAGUCAGGCCUCGCAAAUUGUUCCUGGAUAAGCCUCUGAUCCAGCCUGUGGCUCAGGCAUACCUGCAAGGCCUCUUGGGUUACUCCCAGGAAAAUGGAGACAGCUCAGGGAUGCCUCUGUAAGGUCACACUUGUAGAUUUCUGUUGUCAGCUUUCAGGGGUACCACUGUGACCCCCCGGCAGACACAGGAGGAAUCCUCCCUCUGCUCCUCUCUCUGCUCUUUGAAUUCGACACAAGUCUGAAAACUGAACCAGUGAGGCUGACACCUCUGUGCCUGUCUCAGUUAGCAAUGUGGCCGGCUCUCCCCAAUUACAGUGUUAAGGCAGAUUUUCUGUUCGCCCAUUCAAAGCUGAGAAAAAUUUGCACAGGUCCUUUAUUCUAGGCAUGGAAUGCCAGAAGCCUAGUUUAGGUUUUCAGAUUUACAUGCACUGGCAUCUUCAAGAAGUAUUGGGUUGGCCAAAAAGUUCAUUUGAGUUUUUCUGUUCCAAUGUAUGGCCAAACCUGAACAAACUUUUGGGGCAAAAUUCAAUAAUUAAGGACAGUGACUGAAGCCCUGAUGGAAUCUGUCUCCUCUUCUUGGUGGUGGGGACCCUGCACUUGCUCUGCUCCUUCCUUGGACUGUCCUUAUUGCAUUUCUGGCAGCUGACCUGGCUUUGGACCACAGUCUGCUACAAGAAUCACCUUCUUUGUGAAGUUUAGGAGACCCGGGUGGUGUAUUUUUUCCCCUCACGUCUUUAUUAAAUCAGACGUAACUAGAUGUUAAAUUCAACUCUUCUUGUUGCUUAGGAGAUGGGCAGAGUCCCUGAAGUCUGAGAAUAUUACAAUAGGUGCUAAGUAACACCAUGUUAUAAAAGAAUAUGAAGUUGGAUCACUAUUCAAGACAUGCUGAGAAAUGGUAAAACCAGAUCUGACAGCAUUGAUAGUCACCCACUGGCAGCCUUUAAAAAGAGCGGAGAUGGAGAGCCUGGAUUGAGGGUUCCUCUCAGGGGCAGCUGUUGGAGUGCUGGGCUCACUCCCACCACCGGGGUGAGAAAUAGGGGACUCCCUUGUCACUUUAGGGGACAUCCCUGGUGGCUCAGACAGUGAAGCAUCUGUCUACAAUGCAGGGGCAAAGUGGGAAGGGCUUCAGGGUGGUUCUGGACAGUCUCCAGAGUAGGAGGAGUGUGAAGAUGUAGGGAAAAAGAUAGUCCUGAGAAGGGAGAGAAAUGGCAACAGACCAAGGGGACUGUGAGCUGCAUUUCUUAGGCCAGCUGAAAAAGGGGAUCCAUUUCAGUAGACACCAGAUGUGAGCCAUGUGGAUGGUGAGCCUGCCUGGAGGUUUCUUGAGAGGACCUCAUCUACGGGGACUCACUGGAAGGAUGCAGUGACUAGUAGAGGGGACUGCUGGGAGCCAGUGGGUCAGGGGGCAGUUGAAAUGUGGUCAUCCAUGUUAAGUAGGAUGACUAUUUAGCUUAUCAUUGAAAUGGGGCCACUUUUUAAAAUUUUGAUUAUUGUUUUUUAUAAUCUAUAGAUUUUUCUUUCUUUUAACAACCUUUUUAUUUUGUGUUGGGAUAUAGCGUUUAACAGACAAUGUAGUGAUAGUUUCAGGUGAACAGCAAAGGGACUCAGCCGUACAUAUACCUGUAUCCAUUCUCCCCCAAACUCCCCUCCCAUCCAGGCUGCUACAUAACAUAGAGCAGGGUUCCAUGUGCUCUACAGUCAGUCCUUGUGGAUUAUCAAAAUGGGGCCACUUUUGAGAAAUAAAUAAAGGGGAUGCUAUUAACAGGUAUGCUGGGGCAACUGAUUUAAACCAGAACUGUCUAUGCACACAGGCCAUAUGGUCAUCCUGGUGUUAAGGUAACUGAGUGGGUGGUUCCCAUAGCCACCUGUAUCACUUCACACAGAAGGGUCAACUUCACAAGUGUUCCACUCCCAAUGGCCCCGAGUCCAGGUCUUACUAGUCCCAGCCAUACAAGACAUGCUCUUUUUCUCUAAUUCCCAUCCUCCUUGAUUCUGACCAGAAGGGGUCAGAAGUAGCAGCUGGUGAGUGGGAGAGGGUCCCAGGAAGAGGGGUUAAGACAGGGAGAAAGAUGUCCCCACAGCCCUCCCCAUCUGUAGGCAAACCCUAAGUGCCCUGAAAAACUGCCCUGCUGGAAAGAGAGAAGCACUCAUUUAGAUAAAAGUUCAGAAUUGUGAUUACUACCAUACUACAUUUGAAAUACUGAAAUGAGGCUAUUUUGUGACUGAAAAUGACCCAUGUGCCUUGGAAGGACAGGAGAGCUCUUAGAUCUGUCUGAAAUCUCAGCUAAUGCCAGAAAAAGAACCAUUUAUAGAGGACAGUGGGAGAAAAAAGAAAGCAGCUUUAUGACUGUAACCUUUUGAACCUCUUUCAUUCAUUAACGUAUGACUAAAAGAGAAUGGAAGUGACAGUCUCAUCUGUACGGGGCUCAGCAACUAUUCCUAGUGUGAGGUGUUGAGCAGUUUCGCAAGAUGCUGAACAGAACAAUUUUUCAAGCCCUGUAGUGUAGCAGGUGUAAAACUCACUGCCCUCCGACACACAUUCACUUCAAUUCAGAAGGUGUGUACAGUAUCUAGGGUCCAUCAGAGAGGAACCCAGGCAAGCCCUUCCCACGUUCCUGACCCACCAACGUGCAAGAGCCCAACAGGCUCUGAGGGCUCCUGGAUCCAUCAGGAAGAAGAGAUUUCAGUUCCUUCCAGAAACAGAAAGGAGGAUUGAAUCAGCUGCCUUCUGGAAUGUGAAACCAUGGAGGGUUUUUGCAGAAGACCAUUCUCUUGCAAGACAGAAGCAAUAUGGAUCCCUGUGUCACUAAUUGGAAGAGAGUGAUCUAGAAAGCUACCUAUCUAGAAAAAUCCAUGUUGGGUUUUGAACGGUUGUUGCUGAAUGAAAAGAUGCAGGGAUUCUUGGCCUCUGGAAAAGAAGAAUUCAAUCUGGGGCCAGAGAUGAGGCUUGAUUGCUCAGAGCUUUUGUGUAAUAAAGUUUUAUUAAAGUAUAAAGGAGAUAGAGAAAGCUUCUGACAUAGGCAUCAGAAGGGGGCAGAAAGAGUACCCCCCUGCUAGUCUUCAGCUGGAUGUUACAUAGUCACUAGCAGUCUGUUAUGGAGAAGGCAGUGGCACCCCACUACAGUAUUCUUGCCUGGAGAAUCUCAUGGAUGGAAGAGCCUGGUGGGCUGCAGUCCAUGGCGUCGCUAAGCGUUGGACACGACUGAGUGACUUCACUUUCACUUUUCACUUUCAUGCAUUGAAGAAGGAAAUGGCAACCCACUCCAGUGUUCUUGCCUGGAGAAUCCCAGGGACGGGGGAGCCUGGUGGGCUGCCAUCUAUGGGGUCGCACAGAGUCGGACACGACUGAAG